GGGACGACGAGAGGUGGCCGUUUAUGUCCGUGCCCAAGAUCCUUAAACCCGUGGACUGGCUCCAACUCAUUGGUACCUGCAUAGCCUUCCUGAGGAGGAGCACUUGAGUCUGGGGACACCAGGUCUCAUGGAAACGAGAACUGGGAUGGGAGUGCACAUGGUCAGGAACAUCUCUGGCAUUUCAACCCCCUUUGGAAGACGUGAUGCAACGGAGCCGAGACUUUUCUCAGUCCCCAAGAAGAUAAAUCAGUGAAAUCAAAAUGGUUGUUUUCACACUGCUCCAUGGACAUGGUGAAGCUGGCUGGGAACAUGCUGCGAGGGCCUGACAGGAAGAUGCUGCUGGACAAAAGCUACAGCAGUCUGGUAAGAUUUUCCAAUGGUUGUUGCCUUGGCUGCCACACAGUGAGAUCUCCUGUGUAGGAUAAUAAUUAAUACACCCCGAAUGUUAAGUAUUGACUGCUAGUCUGUGAUAUAUUCUCUGUGUGUUUCACUUAACACACGUCAGACUUAA